rnacentral:rRNA from 1 species
GACGAACGCUGGCGGCGUGCUUAACACAUGCAAGUCGAACGGAAAGUCCCUGCUUUUGUGGGGUGCUCGAGUUGCGAACUGGUGAGUAACACUUGAGUAACCUGCCCUUGACUUUGGGAUAACUUCAGGAAACUGGGUCUAAUACCGGAUAGGAGCUCCUGCUUCAUGGUGGGGGUUGGAAAGUUUCGGCGGUUGGGGAUGUACUCGCGGCUUAUCAGCUUGUUGGUUGGGUAGUGGCUUACCAAGGCUUUGACGGGUAGCCGGCCUGAGAGGGUGACCGGCCAAAUUGGGACUGAGAUAAGGCACAGACUACUACGGGAGGCAGCAGUGGGGAAUAUUGCACAAUGGGAGGAAGCCUGAUGCAGCAAAGCCGCGUGCGGGAUGACGGCCUUCGGGUUGUAAACCGAUUUCGCCUGUGACGAAGCGUGAGUGACGGUAAUGGGUAAAGAAGCACCGGCUAACUACGUG